AUCCAGAUGAUGAGUCCCAAAUAGGACGAAACGCGCGUCCUCGAU
rnacentral:hammerhead_ribozyme from 1 species